rfam:Triticum urartu cultivar G1812 contig323052, whole genome shotgun sequence.
GUUGUACUCCCUCCGUCCAGAAAUACUUGUCAUCAAAAUGGAUAAAAGGAGAUGUAUUUUAGUUCUAGAUACAUCCCUUUUUGUCCAUUUUGAUGGCAAGUAUUUCCGGGCGGAGAGAGUAUCUG